UGUGAUGUCAAAAAAAAGAAAUGAAAGCCGUCACGUUAGGGUAAAACACCAGUCUAUGUGUGUCUGUGUGUGCGCGUGUGCCUGUCCCGAGGCUCUGAGAAGUCACCAAAAAUUUGAGCCUUUUGAAGUCACAAAAAUCUCGUUACAACAAUUUCUGCUAUUUCCACUUUUCAACCUUGGCCGCGGAGAUUGCACACUUCUCUUUCAACCCACAGAAUUGAGCAACAGAACGCGUUUAAUUGGAGAACCGUAGUUACACAUGCCCCGACUUUUAUUUGACAUUUGGUGAACUCCCUUGUAAAGUGAAAUUUCUACAGAGUGGAAUAAAAGUAAGCCCCUUUCUGCAUCACACAGAGAUGGCCUUGAUUAGAUUCUGACUCAUUUUACUGAUAAAAUGCCACAGAUGUCAGCAGCGGAAUCAAAUAAAUAGUUAUGUAACUACGCACAGAUGGAUAUUAGAGGAUAUUGAAGUUGUGAUUGCUUUUUAUCCCACAAGGAAAAAAGCUGCACAUGAGAGUUUUUAUACUACGAAGAAACAUUAUUUGAUUUUUUUUUAAAAAGGGUUGUUUUUUUUAGAUCCAGUCCCAGAGUGAAAGUAAAGAAUCUAUAUGCAGCCGAAAUUUAGCACGUGUCUCCCCGAUAUCUCUUUAAGACAAUGGCAGUGAGUGAGAUAUCACCAAGUGUGUCAAAGUGUGAAGGGGGUUGUCAGAGCCCACGGAGCGUAUCCAACGUUGUCAUUGCCGCUCGCCUGUCUGCCUGUGGAGAACAUCCACCGUUGACAAGAGGUGAGCGCCGGCUCCUCUCCGCAUCAGUUUUGGAUCACUACUCUCAAUCAAAGCCAGGAGAGGAGGGCCCGCAUAAUGUGACAGAGCCUGUCUCUCUCUUUGCCUUUUGAUGCCUGAGGAAGGCUCAACCAGAGCAACCCCUGUCAGAAACCUGCCCACAAGCCUAGACACAAAAGAGAUCCAGGAAUAUGAGGAGGCAGAUAAACAGACAGACAGAAAGUUGCAGACAAACAAGCGCGGGAAAAGUGAGGACACGAUAAACCGAGAGAGAGGCAGCGUGGAACGGUAAAGCAGGUAGAUGCACCAAAGCUGUGUAAUAUCCAGCUUAUACAAAUGCUAUCAGCAUCGCGUGAUAAGACUGCACUUUUCAUUAAACGGCCCCUGUGGACCAGCUAAAUGUAUUUGCAAAUAAUGGCAGUCAGAUUUAAUGACAUUAUGAGCCAUUAAAGAGGAAAAAAAAUAGUGACUGAUCUUAUCAUCCCCUUGUUUCACAUUGAUUGCCAUAUCUGAUAUCUUGUUUCAUAUCUUUGCCAAUCUAAUGCUCUAACAGCUGUGGAAAUCGGAGCUGAUGUGCAUUGUUAACUGUGUUUAUUGUGGUUGUGUAAUUACAAACUGUAUAAUGCGCAAUCUAAUUUAUUAGAUUAGUGAAAGGAUUGGGAGACGGUGUGUUUGCUCUGCUGCUCCGUGCUGUUGUAAACAGUGCCAUCUAGUGCGCUCCAGCUGGGCUCGGGUGUCAUGACGGGGGCUUUGAAGAUGGGAAAGGAGCUCAGGAGGCGUGAAGGAGAAACUGUACAGCUGGCAGCGCUGCGUGGAAGACACGAGCGUCUGCUAGUUGGAAGGAACAGGCAUACGAGGUCAUCCGAGGAUACGCUCGAGCAGGAGGAUGCAGAAGAGUCGGAAACUACCGCUCAUGUCACCGCAGCACAUUCUUCAGCUUUUACACCACGGAAAAGAAAUCACCGUACCAAAAUUACCACCCAAUCAUACCACAGUUGGUCCUGAGACACACAUGCAGUCAGAAUCUCAAAAUAACCCCCGACCAGACCCAGACUGGACCUCUUUAAGCUAUUUCUUAUUCUGUUGUGGCAAAAUAUCAAGGAAAAUAUUAGUCAAAACUCGCCACUUGUGUGUAAAUGAGCUCAAGAUGGAUUAGGAGGCUCUGGAUUCUAUUUGAGGCCGUACGAACCACAAGAUUUCCACCCGCAGCUGAAAGCCAGCAGAGACCCAGAUGUGUGGUGUGCAGCAACUUUGAAUGUGAUUUCCUCUCUUAAGCCUUUAGUGUAGGUAAAGGCAUUAUAGACGAUCAAACCUCUUAGCCCUCCUACUUGUGGGAUUUGAUGUGCAUUACUGACAGUGAGAAAUGGCCUGCCUGAAAUACAAUAUCUCACUUCAGUGGAAGAUGGAGAGGAGAGAGGAGGAGUGGAGAGGAAGCAUGGAGAGUGAUGCUGCCUGACAAUAAGAAAUACACACAUACUACAGCAGUGUAGAGUUACCAGGGAUUGCAUGGAUGCUGUAGAAAAGCUUAGCUAAAUUAAAAAGAAGAGGUAAAAAAAAAUGUAAGCAUCAAAGUCACUGACUGAGAACCUUCACAGACAUCAAAAACUAUCUUUAAGGUGAAAAUUAACUUCAAAAACACACUUUUUGUGUAACUUCUCUUACACAGAAUACACACCUUUACAGCCCAAAAUAUCACUUAAACUAGUCACUGUGGCAAGAAAAAAGCUAAAAGGGUUAAACUUGUAGCUAAAAUGUAUUAUAAAUAAAUAAAUAAAGCUCUAAAUGGUUAAUUCUAAACAGUAAAAGGACUCGGCUUACAAAAAAUGGCUUGCUUAAAAAGUAUUAGGUAAAUGGUUAAUCACUGUAAACGUUGAUUUGUUAAUUUAAUCAAGGGAUAAUUACAUUCAACUGCACUUAUAUCUGCUUUUCAGUUGAUGUUGUAAAAAUACCUAAAUGUAGCGAUUGAAAUAGCUAGCUUACAGUUUUCAGCUUUUAGCUAUAUGGUAUACUACUGAAAUAGCUAGCUUACAGUUUUUAGCUUUUAGCUAUAUGGUAUACUACUGAAAUAGUUAGCUUAACCGGUUAAAAGACCCCUUCAAUCAAUAGUUGAAAAACACAGAAUACACUAAAACAGUAAGUAAAAGCAAAAUGAUCAGAUAAUGAUCAGAUUUUUUAUACUAAGUUAAUAUACUGUGUUGUGUUGUUUGUUACGUUGUGAUGUGUCAUAUCGUGUCGUGUUGUGUUAUAUGUAGUGCCGACGUAGGACAGUUUUUCCAAUUUCAUUGUACUACUGUACUAUGUAUGACUGUGCAAUGACAAUAAAGAGUUAUCUAUCUUA